GAAUUUGUCUUUCUUGUCAUAUCUCUCUAAAUUCUUUUCUUUCUUUCUAUUAACGAAUAAUAAUAAUGGUAAAUCCAUGCCCCAUUUUAAGUAUUGUAGCCCCUGAUCACUGAUACCCUGUCCGACUGACGUAGGGCCCCGUAACGUAUGUCAAGGCUCUGCCUAAAUUCGUUGGGGUUCUGUCUCGUGACGUAGGGAUAAAGUAGAAUUGGGCCACUAUACUUAAUGUUAGUGCACUAUAUAUUUUAUUAAAUAAUCAAAGAGUUGUACCCAAAAUACAACAACCCUUCUAAAACACCCCUGACACCCCUACACUUCCUAAAAUACACCCGUAUGUGAAAACCGAGCCCGAAAUACAAUAUAGCAUUAACAAUAAAUGAAAAACAAGAAAUAGUAAGUUGAGGCGGGCCGCGUGAGCCCACCCCAAACCCUUACGAGGGCGGUAUGAAAGCUAGAACCAGACUCCUUUGGUUUCUUAAGUCCAGGCGGGCCGCGUAAGGCCACACCGUUAGUUUACGCGGGCCGCGAGUGUCCCAAUUGGUGGCGCAGCCCGGUGAUGACACGUGUCAUCAUCGUGGCGAGGCUAGAUCAUGACCAGGACAAGCUACGCGUUGUCCUAGUAUUGACGCGGGCCGCGUAAGCCUUGCCUGUUCUUUAUGCGGGCCGCGUGGGAACCAGUUUCAGCAACUAUAUAAAGAACGCAUCGGAUUUCAAUUCCGUUCGCUCACAAUUCAAUUCUCAAUCUCAAUUUCUGUAGUAGAGUGAUUAUACUCGGGUAUCAUACCCCUAAUUAGCGAAGCUCUGCCUCGUUGUAAGUAUCAUAACCCCUGGAUACGUAUUAGAUACUCUGCCCGAUUGAUCUAGGAUUCCGUAACGGCUGUCGUGGUUCUGCCCGACGUAGUCGUUGGAAUGCCGUCUCGGGGAGGAUUAUAACCAGGAAGUCACAAAGGAAAGCCCUAUAAUAGCAAAGUAACUUAGUGUAAAGCCAAUAGAAGCUAGCUGGAGAGCACUGAAGGCUUGGGAAAGUGGCAAUAAAGUUACCUAAAAUAAAAUAAAUGACUUUAUUAAAUAAAAUAGGAUUUAUUCCUAUGAAAACGUGUAUACUACAAAACUUGGGUUUUCCCAUGUAAUGGUAUUUAUAAAAUAUGGUGGUUUACUCUGAUAAAAUAUUUCCUAACUACGGUCCUGAUGAAAAAUUCCGCUGCCAAAUUAGACAAUAACCAGAUACCACCAGAACUGGCCACGGCCGCCCAUUCCUGUGUUUUGUACCAGGAGGGAACGGGGGUUAUGACAACUAGAAAUGUACACACGUCCAUAUUUUAACAAUUCAAUUAAUUUAUUAUAUUUUGU
rnacentral:lncRNA from 1 species